CUGAAACAGGGAGGUAGUGACAAUAAAUAACAAUGCCGGGCCUUUAUAGGUCUGGCAAUUGGAAUGAGAACAAUUUAAACCCCUUAUCGAGGAUCAAUUGGAGGGCAAGUCUGGUGCCAGCAGCCGCGGUAAUUCCAGCUCCAAUAGCGUAUAUUAAAGUUGUUGCAGUUAAAAAGCUCGUAGUUGGAUUUGUGGUGGUUCCUGAGGUCCAAAUUUUGGUACUAUCGGGCGCCGCCAUCCUUGGGUGGAACCUGUGUGGCAUUAGGUUGUCGUGCAGGGGAUGCCCAUCUUUUACUGUGAAAAAAUUGAGUGUUCAAAGCAGGCUUACGCCGUUGAAUAUAUUAGCAUGGAAUAAUAAGAUAGGACUUCGGAACUAUUUUGUUGGUUUGCGUUACGAAGUAAUGAUUAAUAGGGACAGUUGGGGGUAUUCGUAUUUCGUUGUCAGAGGUGAAAUUCUUGGAUUUCCGAAAGCGAACUACUGCGAAAGCAUUUACC
rnacentral:rRNA from 1 species